rnacentral:rRNA from 1 species
UAAUACGGAGGGGGCUAGCGUUGUUCGGAAUUACUGGGCGUAAAGCGCGCGUAGGCGGACCUGCAAGUCGGGGGUGAAAGCCCGAGGCUCAACCUCGGAACUGCCUUCGAUACUGCGGGUCUCGAGUCCGGGAGAGGUGAGUGGAAUUCCUAGUGUAGAGGUGAAAUUCGUAGAUAUU